UGGGGAAGUAAUUGCAUCAAUGGGCAGGCAGCCAUGCAUGCAGCCAUGCCGCGUGUAUGAAGAAGGCCUUCGGGUUGUAAAGUACUUUCAGCGAGGAGGAAGGCAUUAAGGUUAAUAACCUUGGUGAUUGACGUUACUCGCAGAAGAAGCACCGGCUAACUCCGUGCCAGCAGCCGCGGUAAUACGGAGGGUGCAAGCGUUAAUCGGAAUUACUGGGCGUAAAGCGCACGCAGGCGGUCUGUCAAGUCGGAUGUGAAAUCCCCGGGCUCAACCUGGGAACUGCAUUCGAAACUGGCAGGCUAGAGUCUUGUAGA
rnacentral:rRNA from 1 species